rnacentral:rRNA from 1 species
GGGGAAUAUUGGGCAAUGGGCGAAAGCCUGACCCAGCCACGCCGCGUGAGUGAUGAAGGCCUUCGGGUCGUAAAGCUCUGUGGGGAGGGACGAAUAAGUGCCGUGCUAACACCACGGUGCCCUGACGGUACCUCCUUAGCAAGCACCGGCUAACCAUGUGCCAGCAGCCGCGGUAAGACAGAGGAGCCAAGCGUUGUCCGGAUUGACUGGGCGUAAAGCGCACGCAGGCGGUUCGGUGCGUGGGGUGUGAAAGCAGCAGGCUUAACUUGCCGAGGCCACCUCAUACGGCCGAACUCGAGCCCUGCAGAGGUCCACGGAAUUGCCGGUGUAGUGGUGAAAUGCGUAGAGAUCGGCAGGAACACCCAGGGGGAAACCAGUGGACUGGGCAGGGGCUGACGCUCAGGUGCGAAAGCGUGGGGAGCGAA